rnacentral:lncRNA from 1 species
GUGGAGGUGAGGGUAUCUCACUGGAGAUCCCUGCCUAUCUGAGGCCUUCUGAAGGGCACGUCAAGGGAAAACUGACAUGUCACUGAAGACCCAGAAAGAAAGAAUGCCAGAGAAGAGGUAAAUCAUAGAAAAGCCUAAGCAUCACCUCUGCUCAGAUGGAAGAAGAAAAAAAGAAAAAAAAGCCAGACCCAAACCUUGCCCACCUGGGCAUCCUGCGUGGGAUGGAAUCCAGCCCUGCACUGCCCAGCAAUGGGUCUCCUCCCUGCUUUGUGCAAAGGAAGAUUAAGCAGAAGGGAUAAGAAAAGACAGGGGAAAAAAAUGCAUUUCUUUGCAGUAAACACAGCCUGCAGCCAUCGGUUUCUCUCAGCAUUGGAUGGCAAUUAUUUCUGUGUAAUAAGCAGUCACCCGAUGACCCUCCCCUUCAGCUUGCAACGCUUCUGCUGUCAAGUGUUAAUCCCUUUGUUAGCUACUCAGCUGCACAUUCAUUUAGGAGGACUAAUGACUUACACUGUUCCUUCUCUGCACGAUUUCAGCAGACGUGUAAUUAGAGGUGAAUGGCAGCUUCAGAGGUAUGGCUACCACUGGGGCCGGGGGCAAAGUCAAAGUGUUUGUCUGAUUUCACCAUGGGCUGUUUCAGUGAGUGAAACCAUGUGGGCGGCUGCAUAUGGGGGGGAAAGGAAGUAGGAAAGGAGAAGCCAAAAAAAAGGGAAAGGAUAAGAGUCAGUUGUUGGGCAUUUAGGGAGCUCGGAUGUGAAAAGGAACGUGUUUCCAAAUAUUUCUUUGUUGGGGUGUGAGACUGAGCUGAAUGCCAGCGAGGAGCCUGUUGGCACACAGACUGAGAAGGUACCGAAAGGGUGAAAAGCUUUGUUUCAAAGUGCUGGAGAUCCGUAGUCGUUAGCAGAGUGAGUGUGAGAGCCAGAAAGUGAUUAAAAAAAAGUAUUUUGAAGGUGAGCUGAGGAAGUGCUCGCGUGCCUCCGCAGUGCCUUACAGAAUACAGCCUCUAUUUUUUUUUCUAAGUGAAAGCCAUCGAGGUCUGCAACACCUUGAGAAACAUCCUGUGGCUCUUACACCAUGGGAAGAUGUCCUUUUGAAGUGCAAGUGAAUCCCUGCGUAUGUAUUAACAUCACAGGAUGCAGUAGAAAAGUAUAACAGGGAGCUGAGGUUCUGAUGGAUUUCAGGUAACAACAACAGAAAAAAGCCACAAAGAACCCCAAACCUCUUAGCUCUGAUUUCUAUGCAUUGACAAAGCACAGCUUCGCUGAGCUGCAGCGCUGCUCCCUGUCCUUGCAGCUGUUGGGGCUGAGCCGCAUCCCAGCAGUGUGCGGUGGCCGCUGCUUUUGGUGCUGCAGCGCAGCAUCCCCGGGGCAAUGGACUUCUGCUCUGUCCCAGCAGCAGCGCAGCAUCUCGCAGCUCCCACAGCUGCAUAUUGUCCCCUGCUUUCCCUUUCUUGUUCUUUUUCUUUUUUUUUUCUUUUUGAAAGCUUACCCUGGGUUUUGCUCAGCCCUGUCUCCUCCCAGCAGUGUGCCUGCAGCCCAGGGCUCCCUCCUCUUGUCUCUUCUGGAGUGCGCUGUCUCUUUCCUUCACCCCCCCCUUGUGCAGACGCACAUCAGUGGCUGAUACAACAACUGUGUUGAAGAACAGCCACUUCCAUUCUCUUGGUUGGUUGGGAGGUAAGCAGAGUGCUAGUUCUAUGAAUUAAGAUAACACACCUGCACCAGCGCUUUGAAUUCAGGGGCAUCAUUUCAUUAAAAAUGACGAAACAGAAUAAAUCAAUAACUAAUUAAAAAUGGCUUUAAUUCAGUCUAGGCUUAUGAUCUAAUAUCUCACACAGUUGUCUAAUACAAUUAUAAACGUAAUUUCAUGCCUAAUGAAAUAUAAAUGAAGCAAAAAAGAACAGCAGACUCCAAAGAAACUUCUCCAUCAGUUGCCUUUGUGGCCCCUCCACCCUACCUGCAUCUCUGUCCCAUCUGUUAGGAAGCGAACAGCCAUCACGAUACAGUCUUAUCACUCAUACAAAGCCUUAUUAUUUCUCUGGUCUUCCCCUGCGAAGCGCUGAAGAGGAACUCGAGCAGCCUCAGAGAUGACACACGUUGGGCUUCCAUCUCCCCAGCAAUGCAGCCGUGUCGCCACUGUUGCUGUGCAGCCGGCAGGGACAGGACAUGGUGUGGCUGACAGCCCUGGGGAUGAGGACAUCCAGUUCUGAGGGACUUGCGGUCUGCUGGUAAGCAAACACACUGUCUGGCAGUGCUCAGUGGUGUCCUUCUGAAAAACCUUGUGUGCAAUUACAUGGCUCACAGCUACACACAGGUAGAGCCGGGUGAACACCAUUUCUCAUCUAUGUAUUCCAAGAGCAUCAGUGGUGCCCAUCCUCACUGUAUGCCUCCAGCAUGGGAGGGAGAGGAUUAAUUAAAUGGACCUCAGAACGCUGCCUCUGCUUGCCACCCUUCGUAUGUCUGAACUGGAGCCCAUCAGUCAGCCUCUGUUGGUGCCGAUGGAACACCCGGGCAGCACUCGGGACAUCAGACAAACCUGUGGGAGGGGAAGACAGUUACAGUCUGAUUUUUGGAUGCUUGAGGUGAAGAAACAGGCUCUGCCCGUGCAGUCACAGAUGGGACCUUAUGAGAUAUUGGUCAUGAAGUGCCAUCAUGGAAACCUCUGCAGGAAGCUCAAGCUUCAGGAAUCCUAAGGUACUAACUGUCAUUUAUAGGUCCUGUUCCUCUCGCUGGUGAAGCUCUUUUGCUAUCAUUUGAUAUAUCGAAUACAUGGAUAGUAGUAGAACAGUAUUGUUGCCUCCUCAGUCUCAAGGCAAAACAUAACUUGGUCCUACUUAAUAUUAAUUUAAUGUUAACAAAAUCAAGAUAAGUUCAGAAGUUUCACCUUGACUGAGGUUCUCAGCUCUCAUGCUUGUGUGCAUACAAACUGCUGAGAAAAACAUUUCAGGCUUUUCCACAGCGAUGAUCAAAGAAAAAUCACAAAUGCAGUGGACUUCAAAGCAAAGGGGCAAUGGCCCAGCCUUCACUCAGUCAGUGCGCACAAAAUGGAAGGGCCCAUUACCUGUAGAUGGGAGAGGAGCAGAGCUAAGCCGCAGGUAGGUUUGUAUUUGAUAUCAUCUACUGACAGUGACGGGUCACAGCAUUGCCACAGCUGAAGGCUGUUGAGGGCCACCACAGAGCCUCCCAGCAGCAGUUCAGAUGCUGCAUGCUAUUUAUUUGCGUGCAAUUGGAAUCCACCCUACUAGUGUGCAUCGCUGACAGAUAGGAGGAAAGGAUUCACUGCAAGCACUGAGCCAGCACCGACAAGCUGGGAGGUGAAAACUCAGGAGCUUCACUGAAGGCAGCUGAAGCCUCCACUGCUGCACAUUGUGGUGCCUGCAGAGUCACAGAGAAAUAAAUCUUGGUUAAAUUUUUGAUGAGCUUUCAGCUGCUGUAAAUAAUUAACUAGGGCCUCUCUCGUUUGAACACGGGUGCAACUUUUCAUGUUUCAAACGCUUCCUGCCUCAGUCCCAGGGGAUUGCUCAAGUAAUUCAGGUCAUUCUUUCUUUUAUUUAUUUGCAGCAUCACCGGUCCAAACAAAUUUUGAACUUUCAAGCUGGGAAGGGAGAAAGCAUUUUCUUCUUGAUUUUACUCCAGGUAAAUCCCCAAGGGAGCACGUGUCUCAUUUGCAGUAGUUGAAUAAUAGAGAUUGAUGGGUUAAUCAGUUCCCAUACCAUUUAUGGAGUAAUGCUGUGCGCUCAUAGAUGAAGUCUUCAUGUUUCUCAAGUCUGCUGUUUCAAAGAUGAGAGCACAGGACAGCUUCAUACAGACAGAUGCACUAAGGAGAGCAUCCCUGUGUGUCCCCCCCAGCUAAAGCACAUUGGGCUGAUCCCGCUUUUGACAGUGCGAGUACUGAAGUCAGUCCUGCAUCACCACCAGGUAAGCAGCACAAAAAAUGAGGUCUGAAGAACAACUGAUUUGUCCCUUCAUUAGGUGUCAAAAGGAGCUUGGAUAUUGUUUUAGGUGGAAACUCAUGCAUAGAUGAAGUGGGUGUAAACUGUAUUAAAUAUUGGAUUCAAACUCCAGAUUAGGGGUUUUGAUGUCCUAUCCCAAGACUUUAAUGUCUAAAUUGAACUACUAAAAUAGCUCCUUCCUCAGGACUCCAUCCUGUCCCGCUUAGUUCUAUACCCACACACAACAGGUCACCUACCACUACUGUGGUCUGAGGCUGAUUUGGAUUUACUGCAGUGUCAUACUUUCUGUUUCAAUGCCUAUUGAGUAUGAUUUAUUACAAUGACAGACCACGCUACUGUUUGCAAUGCAGGCCGAAUUCAUUCCCACUUUUUAAUACAGUUUCUCACAUCAUCUCCAGCAUUUGAGAGAAUGUAUAUUUAUUUUAAUCACCGUGUACUGAAUAUGUAAUUUUUUUCCUAGGUAAAAUUUCCCUUUAAUAGAGGCUGGGUUAUGACAGAGCAAUUAUUUGAGUUAUGUGCACAUUACAGAAUAAUUUAACAUCAGCUUUUGGGUCAAUCUUUUUUAAUUAUCUAUUUUAUCAACUGGUUUUGACUAGCAGUUUAAAUAAUUGUGUUUGCCUAAUAUCUGGAAAUCUAAUUGCUUUUAGACAUCCUUUAUUCCAAUCCUGGUGUUGUUACCGUCUUGCAUACGGUGCAUGUUGGCACCUGUCUGUGCAGUGACAGAUUUGUGGUGACAGCUUAUAUAACUUAUUUAUAAAAUGAUGAAUUAUUUUUGAAUUUAACUUCAAGUUCACAGACUGGAAAAGUGGAGAAACACCUGCUUGCUGCAGAGGAUCUGCUAAGGAAGUCCAAAGGGAAACUAUGCACAGAGGGGAAAAGCACAGGCCAAGUGAAACAGAACCAUGUGGGUCAUCGUUAUGCUGUUCCAGGUUCUCUUUGUCCUUAGCAGACAAUCUGGGACUGCCUUGCCUUCAGAUGUCCAAAUUUUAGGCAGUUGACUUUCAGAGAGAUGAACAUUACACAAUACACGUAUUUGCUUUUGAGAGCAAAACUGUGUUUUUACCUCAACAAACGCCCUAUUUUCCUGCCAAAUUCUUCCCUCUGUGUGGGACCAACGUGCACAUGGAGCCAAGGAACGCAGGAGAAAUGGUGUCAGCGGACACAGAGGUGAAGAAUAAGGUGCCAAUCAAUAAACCAGUAAUUAGCUCUGUUUGGCAGGUUGGGGGUGUUUGGGUUUUGGUAUUUUGCUGUUGCGUUUUUUUUUUUCCUGCUGGUUUUGAAAGAAGUUUGCUUAUCUAAGUUUUAUAACCACUUAAAUGAAUCCCAGCUCUGUUCAAAUCAAUGAAAGCUUUUGCGAGACAGCUGUAAUUUUAUGUGCAUGUGUUUCAGUAAAUUAGAGGGUUUAGCCUUAAGGAUUCACUUUAGUGUAAUCUACUAAAAAGAUAAGUAGAGCCAGAUGCAGUGUCUUACAACCGCUGGACAGUCGCAACUGGAGCGACAGCACUGACAGCAACUUUAUGGCUUUCCUCAUAGGGAGCAGAUUUCCUGACUCAAAAAGAGCAGUAUUUUACAUAAAUAGUUGUCAAUAUUUUGUAUUUACGAUGCAAAGAAAGAAGGGUGCAAAUAGUGAAAAAAUGAAAUAAAAUUAGCCCAAACAACUGAUAAUGGCUUCCUUGCAUUCUGUUUGUGCACAACUGUGGAAAAAGACAAUCUGUAGUUUAAACCAUUUAACUAAAUUAAAUUCUAGUUAGCAUCUGGGAUCCCGUCAAUAAGAGUCUAUAUUUCCGAG